AAAUCCGCUUUGAUAAUGCUGGGAUGUGAUGGGGAGCGAAAUUUAGUAGCGAAGUAGCUGAUUUCACACUGUCAAGAAAAGUCUCUAUCGAGGUUAAAGGUACCCGUACCGCAAACCGACACAGGUGGGUGAGGAGAGUAUCCUAAGGCCAGCGAGAGAACUGUUGUUAAGGAACUCGGCAAAAUGACCCCGUAACUUAGGGAUAAGGGGUGCCACCAUCAGGUGGCCGCAGAGAAUAGGCCCAAGCGACUGUUUACCAAAAACAUAGGUUUCUGCUAAGUCGCAAGACGAUGUAUAGGAGCUGACGCCUGCCCGGUGCUGGAAGGUUAAGGGGAUCUGUUAGAGCAAUCGAAGCAGUGAACUUAAGCCCCAGUAAACGGCGGCCGUAACUAUAACGGUCCUAAGGUAGCGAAAUUCCUUGUCGGGUAAGUUCCGACCCGCACGAAAGGCGUAACGAUUUGGGCACUGUCCCAACAACAGACUCGGUGAAAUUGUAAUUCCGGUGAAGAUGCCGGAUACCUGCGACAGGACGGAAAGACCCCAUGGAGCUUUACUGUAGCUUGACAUUGGGUCUUGGUACUACAUGUACAGGAUAGGUGGGAGGCUUUGAAACCAGGACGCCAGUUUUGGCGGAGCCAUCCUUGGGAU
rnacentral:rRNA from 1 species